GAUAGUAUGGCCGAGUGGUCUAUGGCGCUGGUUUUAGCCACCAGUCUCUUCGGAGGCAAAGGUUUGGAUCCCUUCACUGUCA
rnacentral:tRNA from 1 species